rfam:Eutrema salsugineum unplaced genomic scaffold scaffold_10, whole genome shotgun sequence.
AUAAAGGACUUUUUCAAGUCCAUAAUGUUUUAUUCAAUGUGUAG